rnacentral:rRNA from 1 species
UACGUAGGCAGCAAGCGUUGUUCGGAAUUACUGGGCGUAAAGAGUGUGUAGGCGGUGCUCUAAGUUUGGUGUGAAAUCUCCCGGCUCAACUGGGAGGGUGCGCCGAAAACUGGAAUGCUUGAACAUGGGAGAGGAAAGCGGAAUUCCUGGUGUAGCGGUGAAAUGCGUAGAUAUCAGGAGGAACACCUGCGGUGUAGACGGCUUUCUGGACCAUUGUUGACGCUGAGGAGCGAAAGCGUGGGGAGCGAACAGG